UACAUAGGGGACAAGCGUUAUCCGGAUUUAUUGGGCGUAAAGAGUGCGUAGGCGGUUUAUUAAGUUAGAUGUAAAAGGCAAGAGCUCAACUCUUGUAUGCAUUUAAAACUGGUAGACUUGAGUAUGGUAGAGGUGAGUGGAAUUCCAUGUGUAGUGGUAAAAUACGUAGAUAUAUGGAGGAACACCAGUGGCGAAGGCGGCUCACUGGGCCAGCACUGACGCUGAUGCACGAAAGCAUGGGGAGCAAACA
rnacentral:rRNA from 1 species